CCUGCCGGAGGUUACUGCUAUCGAGGUUCGACUAAGCCAUGCGAGUCGAAUGCCGCAAGGCAUGGCGUACUGCUCAGUAACACGUGGACAACCUACCCUUAGGACUGGGAUAACCCCGGGAAACUGGGAAUAAUCCCCGAUAGUCCUCGAAGGCUGGAAUGCAUCGAGGGCGAAAGCUCCGGCGCCUAAGGAUGGGUCUGCGGCCUAUCAGGUAGUAGUGGGUGUAGCGUACCUACUAGCCUACGACGGGUACGGGUUGUGAGAGCAAGAGCCCGGAGAUGGAUUCUGAGACACGAAUCCAGGCCCUACGGGGUGCAGCAGGCGCGAAAACUUUACAAUGCUGGCAACAGCGAUAAGGGAACCUCGAGUGCCAGGUUACAAAUCUGGCUGUCGAGAUGCCUAAAAAGCAUUUCAUAGCAAGGGCCGGGCAAGACCGGUGCCACCCGCCGCGGUAACACCGGCGGCUCGAGUGGUAACCGUUAUUAUUGGGUCUAAAGGGUCUGUAUCCGUGCGGAUAAUUCUCUUGGGAAAUC
rnacentral:rRNA from 1 species